rnacentral:lncRNA from 1 species
AGACAAAUCAUCUAAAAAUAUGCAUUCAUUGUAGUACAUUUUUACAUUUUUGUAGUGAAUAUAUUAUUUUUUAUAUCUUUUAAAGGAGGCCAGCAUAAAAAUCAAAAUCCAAGAGAAAUAUAAAUAUAUUGUAGGAAAGAUCAUAAACUAUACAUAUGAAUAUAUAAUUAUAGGUUUACAAGUAAUACAAAUUACUUUUCAACUUAACUAUAUUAUAGUUUAUAAAGUAGUCUUGGAGAGCAUUUGUGUACUCGCUUGCAUAAUCAUAGGGAAACAUAUUGAAAGAGUGAGCUAACUUUAAGACAUGCGCAUUGUUUAUUGUCACACUUCACUAUCCUUGGUGGCUGGCACGCACGAUUAAAACAAUCACUAUCGUUUCUACAUCUAGAAAUUCCUAUAUUGAAAAAUGAGAAUAAAAGUUUAGAUAACAUUUGAUAAAACAUUAGGUAGAAAAUAACAAAGAAAUUUUUUAAACAUUAAGAAAUGCAUUACUUCCAUGGUUGGAUGGCACCAGAAAUAUAGAAAUAAUGAUAAUCAUUGUACAAACAAACUUGACAAUUUCAACCAUAUUUCUUCUUUUGUGUUUAAGAAAUGGUUUUAUUAAUUUAUAUUUUUGUAAGUUCGAAUUCUCCUUACAUCAAUGAAAUAUUAUUGUCUUUUAUAUGGUUGUAAGAAAUGCAUCUUAAAAAUCAAAAUAAUUAUUAAAAAAAAUUUCAAAUAUGUUAAUGUUUU